UACGUAGGGUGCAAGCGUUGUCCGGAAUUAUUGGGCGUAAAGAGCUCGUAGGCGGUUUGUCGCGUCUGCUGUGAAAACCCGAGGCUCAACCUCGGGCCUGCAGUGGGUACGGGCAGACUAGAGUGCGGUAGGGGAGAUUGGAAUUCCUGGUGUAGCGGUGGAAUGCGUAGAGAUCAGGAAGAACACCCAUGGCGAAGGCAGCUCUCUGGGCCGGUACUGACGCUGAGACGCGAAAGCGCGGGGAGCGAACGGG
rnacentral:rRNA from 1 species